rnacentral:lncRNA from 1 species
UGUGGAUUAAGGCUGCCCCAGCUAGAGAAGCCCAAGGUGACCUGGCCUACGUGCCAAACUAUACGACCCAGUGGACUUUUUUUAUGGUAUGAAUUAGGACUGCCCCAGGGAGAGAAGCCCGGGGCAUCCUCACCUGCAUGCCGAUCUAUAUGGCCAGAUUCGUAUCUAAAGUUAUAUGACCGCACAAUAACCAGACCCCAUCUGCACUGAAAUCAUUUAAUGACUUUUUACAUCAUCUUUUCUUUUCUCCAGUAAAAAUAAGUCACGUACCCAUGCCUUAUAAAAUUAGCCCUAACCCUCAACUCGGCAGCAGCAGGAGCUCUGACCGCCCGUGGGUCCUGUCCCCACGCACCAGCUCUGCCUGCCCAUGGGUCCUGUCCCCAUGCCAGCGGCAGCAGCAGCAGAAGCUCUGCCUGCCCAUGGGUCCUGUCCCCAUGCUAUUCCACACUAUUCUCUAAAUAAAAGAGCACUACUGCCAGAUCUUGAGAGUCUAAGAAAUCUUUCUUUCGACUCCUCGGCUCACCGAUCCCGCAUCAUUUCUGGUGGCCCGUACGGGGAAUUGCUUCAUCGGCUUGUGAGCUCGAGUUCUGGUAAGUGCCCUUUUCUUCCUUGUGCCUUUCUCUUUUUCAAGGAUGGAUCUAGAUUCACUGCUCCAUCGGGAACUUUCUCGGACAGCUGUAUGAAUCCACGUUUGCUGCCCAUGGCUACUCUAUGGGGCAAAUUGUGGCAUUCAGCUUGAAGAGAUUCAGUACCUUAAGCCUCAGGGUGAUGGAGAAUGAAUUAAUCCAUUCCUUCCUGCUCUUUUUCAAGGAUGGAUCUAGAUUCACUGCUCCAUCGGGAACUUUCUUGGAUGGCUGUAUGAAUCCACGUUUGCUGCCCAUGGCUACUCUAUGGGGCAAAUUGUGGCAUUCAGCUUGAAGAGAUUCAGUACCUUAAGCCUCAGGGUGAUGGAGAAUGAAUUAAUCCAUUCCUUCCUGACUCUAUCUCUAAUAGACAAAUUUUACGUGGGCGCGGGUCGGCCACUUAAGUCGUUAGGACGGCCGCCAAUCUCCAAGACUCCCGUGGAAGGUUUCUUUUCCUAAGGCUGGAUUGGCAUCCCUCCCUCUGGCACCUGACCACGCUCUGAACUGCGAGGAAAGUCCCACUCGGGACUCCAGUUCAAGGGAAGUACCAAACUCUAACCUUUGGUGGAGUAUGGGAACCCCUUCUUGGGAGAAUGGCUCCAGGAUGCAAUUGGGUAGAAUGUCCCCCAGACUGGCGGAAAAUUCCUCACUGUCUUUCUCUUUCUCACUGUCUUUGUCCUUUUCUCUCCUGGGGACCAUACGCCAGGCACCUAUUACUGUCAGGCAGAAUAGGGAAGAUGUUCAAGGGAUGCCCCCAUCAUCCCUUGCUACAGGAACUCCAUUGGGGGGAUUUUCAAGGUAAUGGCUCCCUUUCUCUGGGACCAUACGCCAGGCACCUAUUACUGUCAGGCAGAAUAGGGAAGAUGUUCAAGGGAUGCCCCCAUCAUCCCUUGCUACAGGAACUCCAUUGGGGGGAUUUUCAAGGUAAUGGCUCCUUUUCUUUCUCCUUUUCUCUCCUGGGGACCAUACGCCAGGCACCUAUUACUGUCAGGCAGAAUAGGGAAGAUGUUCAAGGGAUGCCCCCAUCAUCCCUUGCUACAGGAACUCCAUUGGGGGGAUUUUCAAGGUAAUGGCCCCUUUUCUUUCUCCUUUUCUCUCGGGAACCAUUCACCAGGCCUAUGCUGUCAGGCAGAAUAGGCACCAGGCACCUGUUACUGCCAGGCAUAACAGGGAAGGUAUACAAGGGAUGCAAUGCUGGGGGACGCCCCCAUCACCCCUUGCUAUAGGAACCCCACAGUAGGAACAACGGGUAGGACGCUGCCCUAGGUUCAGGGGGGAUUUUUCAUGGUAAUGGACCCGUUUCUUUUGUCUCUCUUGGAGUUACAAUGGCAAUUUUCAUCUCCUUUUGAGCCUUGUGACUGGGAAACAAAGAAAUCUUUAAAGAGUAAAAGGCUCCACCCCUGGGAGCCCCAACUUUGGGUUUCUGGGCCUGAUCACCCCAGCAACCCUAAGUGGGGGUGCCCUCUCUUGACAGUCGACUCAUUGAGUAUUUUAGUCACCUACUGAGUCGGUUAUGAGGGUAGGAGACCUGUGAUUUAUUCUGUGAACUGUCGUGCUAGCGUAGUGUGCCCCAGUACAGGAACUGUUGUGUGACUCUUAUCUUGAUAACCCUCUGGAAGAGGCCAUGAGGGUGAGGUCUGAUCUCUUCUUUUCCUUUCUUUGUCUGUUUUGCUCACCAUCUCUUCUGUUGUCACCAAGUAGAGGUUAAGUUCAGGUUAGACCUGAGCAGAACCUUGACCUUCUGUAAAAUUGGAAAAAUAAGCCUUUUGCCAGGGAUUUAACUCUCAAACCUGGCUCUGGGAGCCCCAGCCUCCAGCCAGUUCCAGGCCUUUGCCUCCUGCUUCCCUACCUCAACUUUGCUGGCUCAGAGACAAAGUGCCCAGGCUGAGCGGGACUUGACUAAAUCUUAUAACUAUGUCAACACCCGCAAUCGGCCUCUGCACACCCGCAAUCGGCCUCUGCACCCUUUCUCCAGCUGCUGUCAGUCAGACACUGGCUUUACCGCCACGGGGAAGGUUCCUAAGCAUCCCCAGAGACCCACCCUGUGGAUGCGUUCUAACUCCAUCUGGGAGAAAAUUUGAGGGGUUUCUCUGUGCCUUUGUGAUGCAGUUGGACAGGUAGAUCAACCUGGAAUGUAAUUUGAGUUACAAUCCAGUUUCUGGGAAAUCAAGAGCAACUGUCCUUAGAAAAUCCUUGCAAGACUGGAAAUACAGCUCUAGAGGCAGUUCAGAUUCCACCUAGUUCCUUUAUCACAGAAAGGAUUAUCAUCUCCCCUCUCCAGGAACUACUAUCUAGCCCAUCACUAAUUCCUAAGACUGAAAAAAAAAAAAAAAAAGAAAGAAAGAAAGAAAGAGGAGGGGAGAGGGAAAACGGCCAUAAGCGUGCCCUUGCAAAAAAUCUAGCAUCUUGAGUAUCUUCUCCACAAAUAUUGGUAAAAAAACAAUAGCUCUAACAAUAGCUGUGCAGUCUCUGUGUACGUGUGUCUAUGUGUACGUUAUAUGUGUGAUAUUUUACCUCCGGAUGGUGUUACCAAAAUUAAGAGCUCUGUUUAAUUGGCUUCAAGUAAGCGCUUACAUAAAUUCUAAAUGUAGUAGAAAUUAAUCCAAUGUCUUUCAAGUUAACUUGAUGUGAAUUAACUUUUGGUAAAUGAAAGCUUGUUUAAGUUUGUUGGUUUGAUUGAAAAUAGUCUUCUUGUCAGAGUUGUCAGUAUUUGCAUAUGAUGCAGGCAUGCAGCCUGGGUUUACUAGUCAAAUAAGUUCACAUUGUCUGUUAAAUUCGUCAGCAAAAUAAUAGCUUUAAAGGAUGACCAGUUUUGUCUAAUGUCUCAUGAAGUUUUUGUGGGUACAAUAACUGUUUUAUGGUCUGUAUACUUGAAAAAAAAAAAAAAAGCUUCCAAAUUGUUUUGAUAACAAUCUUGAGUUUUGCCAAGUUAAGUUAAAUGAUAAAAAUCUGAGCAUCUGGGUCAUUUUUGGAUUGGAUAGCACACAAGCAUUAUAGCCAAACUUAUCUAAGUUAUCUACUUUUGGCUUCUUAUUGCAGAGAGGCUAAAAGUCUUUGGGUCUGUUAUUGUAAAGCAGCGUGUUUCUAGAAAUUAUGAAGUGUUUAGAAUGCUGGUAUAAAAGACAAUUCAUAAUUGCUUACCUUUUUAGUGUUUACUAUGGUCUGUUAAGGGUUAAAAGUUCUUAUUAACCUAUAUAAUUAAAGCUACUGGAAGUUAAUAAGGAAAACAGCUCUGUAUUGAAGGAAAGUUAAAAUGUAUGUUUUCAGUAAAGAGGGUAUAAAGAAUGGAAGUAUUUUUGUUUGAUGGGUUAAGAAAGAUAAGUUUGUCCUAAAGUACUAGAAAGAAAAAAAGACAGACUUUGGGACAAAUUCUGAAGGCAAAAAGAAAGUUGUAGAUUUGUGAAGGAGGAAUUCUGAAAGGAGUUUUAUGCCUGGUCAAGUAGACUAAGAUUAGAGUAAAUCCAAUUAAGUGAAUGAGUUUUAAUGUUAAAAAUAAGCUGGUACAGAAAUUAAAAUUUGGUUUUCUCUCAAAGCAUAAUUUUCUUGAACUUUUGGCCUGCUCUAACUCUACCUAAAAGACAGAAAAUCUAUGUUUUGUUAAAAUAAUUUCCUAUAUUCAGAAAGAAAGAGGUCUCUUCUAAAAUUUUUUUGACGGUGUUGUUUGCUCUUGACUGUCUCUGUUGUCACUUUGAAUGGAUGCCUGAGCAUUGUUUAACAGUGAGCGUUGUUUCCUAUUGAACAAGCAUUUUAAAAACUUUUGAUAUUUUUGACAAGCUUCUCCCUCAAAAAUAUUCAAAUCCUGAAUAAAGGCUUUCUUUUGACCUAGUAGAUGGAAGAAGAAUUUCUCUGAGGAUUUUCAGAGGGCCCCUGAGACUUCUCAAAGAAAUUUGCUCUCUUCCUAUAAGGAGGAAAAUACUAAAUUAAUUAGGUUUAUUUGGUUUACUAAAUUACAUGGGAAGCAUUGUCAAAUAAGCGAUGAUAAACUUUCUUAUGUGGUAUUACGUGGGUGAAUGUUAUUAAUAUACGUGUCUUAACAUUAUAUAGCAUUCCUAAAAUUCUAAUCUGUUCUGGUUAUCAGUCAUAAUUCCAGUUAUUAUCUUAAAGUGUUAUAUGUCACAGAAAUAGCCAAGUUUCUUUGUCAAUUGCCCUUUUGAGUCUUUUGUCCAUUUGCAGAUAGUUGCUGUUUUACACUGAUGCUUUUUGCUUUUGCAAAUAUGUUUCAUGUCCAGAGAAAUUCCUGGAAAGGAUUCUGACACAAGGGUUCUAAACUACAGGUUUCUGAUAAACUUUCAGAUUGUAAAACUGAACUGGGUAAGAAAUUACAGAAUUCUAACAGAAACUAAGCUCAUAGACCUGCUAACAGAAGAUUAAACUCAAUAAUCAAUUAUACAGGACUGUGUGAACUGAUGAGAAUGAUUAUAAUUUUUUAUGACUUCUGUUUGAAAUAUUGCUGAGUUUUGAUGUUUUGUUUUGUUUUCUCAUGUUUAAGGAAAUCUUUCUUUCUUUUCUCUUAUGCUAACUAUGACUUACAGCAAUUUAGUGAAAUACAUCUUUAUGAGCAAAACUGAAACAUUUGUCUUUUUCUCCCGACCUGAUCCCUCCAGAAUUUGGAAACUCUUUGUGAGUACGGUUAUUUCGUGGCAAUAUAGUUAUUUGCAUAAGUUCAAUAAGAAUUUGGUCUCCUUAUAACAGGACACAUUGGUUAUCUUACCAAGGCUUUGACUGGAAUGUCAUAUUUGAGCGAAACAUACAGGCUCGGAUAUGACAAGACAGCUUUUCAGGAACAAAGAUUGGACUUUCUGGAAUACAGCCACUUGGAAACAUGGGCCUGGUACCUUGUUUACAGAGAUUCUGGCAAUCUUACCUGGUAAGUAAGGAAGCUUGCUUAUCUGGCAGGUGCAAGGAACCUCAGAAUAUUUUGGAGGACCUCGAGAAGAGAGGAGUCCACCCAAAUCUGGAGGUACUGCAGGCAAAAUCUGAUGGCAAGUCCUUGGCUUGGCUUUUCUGGCCUCGAGAGGCCUUUACAGUUCAAUCUGAGAUUCCUCAUAAGAAAAAUUCCAGCAAAGCAGAUUUAAAAAGCCUGUAUAAUCAAUUGCCAUUCUUGCUGCACUUAUGUCAAUAAUUGGACCAAGUUUUAUUGAAACUACACUUAUUUUGCAAACCAGUUAAUCUUAAUUUGGCUAUCUUUUGUAAAAAUGAGGGUGAUUUUAGAGAGAAAAAUUAUGUUUCAGUAGAAGCUAUAGUACGCAUUUAUGGAUAUUAGAUUCUAGCUCUUCUCCUCUACAAGAGUCAUCUAUUACUAAUCAUGUCUCCUUGUGGCCAUCUGUCUCUGAUACCUGGGAGUUCCCUGGCCACAAUCAAACCUUUUCCUUCAAUACUGCUGCCCAAAUACUAACUAGAUUUGCCUUGUCAUAGGUGGAUCAUAAACGACAAGUUCCAAAGGUAAAGUCCCCAACUUAUUGAUACACACAGGAUGGACUAUAUCAAAUUUGGGACGAAUAUAUUUGGCUCACUCCUGCUAGUGAUCAACUCAGUAAAAGUCCACUCUAUCUUGGGAACAAACCAAUCACACCUGUGAUACAUGGCCUAAUAGCACCCGACCUAUGGGAAAAUUCCCUGUCAUAUGUGUUCUCAUAUCAUAAGCUUAAAAAAUACUGAUUGGUUUGGGACUGACUGGGAUAGACGGCCCAGCACGCGUUGGUUAGCCCCUAAUGGCACUCAGUGGCUAUGUGGCUCCAACUUAUGGCUUUGGCUGCCACCUGGAUGGAUUGGACGAUGCACUCUAGGCUUUGUCAGGAUGCAAGGUCUACAUUUACUAUCUCUCCUCCUGCUAACCGACCCAACCUGCAACAGCGCUGGACCUGCUCUGUCUUCCACUGGUAUGACCACGUUGCCUCAAUUUUCCUUCCCCAGUUAGGAAUCGAAAGUGUCAUCUGGCCCAUGGAAGCUCUAAACAAAUUUACUAUGAAAGCGUUAAAAUGAUACACAACAUAGCCUUUUGCUGCUUGAUUUAGAAGUGUCCCAAAUGUAUAAGGCAGUCCUCCAAAACCGAAUGGCACUAGAUGUCUUGACAGCAGCACAGGGGGCACCUGUGCCAUUAUAAAAACUGAAUGUUGUGUCUAUAUUCCUGACUACCAUCAAAAUAUCUCUGGCUUCCUGUCUGAUAUGAGCCACCAAGUUAAGUCCAUGUCUGACCCUCCCCUAUCUCUAAAUGACUGUUUGAACUCCUGGUCAGGACGAGGUUUCUAGACUACUACCAAAACCUUAUUCAUUGGGUUAAUCAUAUUGCUAGUAUUUCCUAUUAUAAUUUGUUGUCUGUUUCGUUGUUUGUCUUCCGCAUGUCAACAAAGUUUCACCUCCUGGACCACCACUCGACAAAUGAUUCUCUCGUCCCCAGAGGCUCUGGAUGCCUUGUCAGCCUUGGACUCCACGGGUGCAGUCUUCCGGUCCGCUGAACCCCCUACCUAUACCUAUGGCCCCAUUUAGGGACAGCUCUACGACCUUGUACAGCCGGAAGUAGUUACAGAAGACUGACCGUCGUCCAUAUCCCCAAAAGAUUUUGGGGCCAAAUGGGUUCAGGGGGGGUUUAUGAUGUGGAUUAAGGCUGCCCCAGCUAGAGAAGCCCAAGGUGACCUGGCCUACGUGCCAAACUAUACGACCCAGUGGACUUUUUUUAUGGUAUGAAUUAGGACUGCCCCAGGGAGAGAAGCCCGGGGCAUCCUCACCUGCAUGCCGAUCUAUAUGGCCAGAUUCGUAUCUAAAGUUAUAUGACCGCACAAUAACCAGACCCCAUCUGCACUGAAAUCAUUUAAUGACUUUUUACAUCAUCUUUUCUUUUCUCCAGUAAAAAUAAGUCACGUACCCAUGCCUUAUAAAAUUAGCCCUAACCCUCAACUCGGCAGCAGCAGGAGCUCUGACCGCCCGUGGGUCCUGUCCCCACGCACCAGCUCUGCCUGCCCAUGGGUCCUGUCCCCAUGCCAGCGGCAGCAGCAGCAGAAGCUCUGCCUGCCCAUGGGUCCUGUCCCCAUGCUAUUCCACACUAUUCUCUAAAUAAAAGAGCACUACUGCCAGAUCUUGAGAGUCUAAGAAAUCUUUCUUUCGACUCCUCGGCUCACCGAUCCCGC